rnacentral:tRNA from 1 species
CGGGGAGUGGCGCAGCUUGGUAGCGCACCUGUAUGGGGUGCAGGAGGUCGCAGGUUCAAAUCCUGUCUCCCCGACCA